GGGCCUUCGGGCCUCUUGCCAUCGGAUGUGCCCAGAUGGGAUUAGCUAGUAGGUGGGGUAACGGCUCACCUAGGCGACGAUCCCUAGCUGGUCUGAGAGGAUGACCAGCCACACUGGAACUGAGACACGGUCCAGACUCCUACGGGAGGCAGCAGUGGGGAAUAUUGCACAAUGGGCGCAAGCCUGAUGCAGCCAUGCCGCGUGUAUGAAGAAGGCCUUCGGGUUGUAAAGUACUUUCAGCGGGGAGGAAGGGAGUAAAGUUAAUACCUUUGCUCAUUGACGUUACCCGCAGAAGAAGCACCGGCUAACUCCGUGCCAGCAGCCGCGGUAAUACGGAGGGUGCAAGCGUUAAUCGGAAUUACUGGGCGUAAAGCGCACCCCUGGGUUG
rnacentral:rRNA from 1 species